GCCGCCAUAGCUCAGUGGUAGAGCACUUCAUUGGUAAUGAAGAGGUCGAAGGUUCGAUUCUUUCUGGCGGCACCA
rnacentral:tRNA from 1 species